rnacentral:lncRNA from 1 species
UUAUUUUAACUAAUGAAGAAUUUGGUCUUGUACAAAAUAUACAUGAGAAAAUUUGGUGGAUUUUAUAUAAGAAUGCAACUUAAUUUCUUCCAUUUGCUUCAUCUACAUUGCUAUUCAACCUCACAUUUGCGAAAAGGAACACAGGGAGCUUAAAUGAUGAAAUUGGAUAUUUUUCUUAUAUGGUCCAUGUAAAAUUAAUGUGUUGGGGAAUGAGGAUUGUCUUCCAUUGGAAGAUAGGUAUUUUAGGACGACAAUGAAAUUUACAUCUAUCUCACACACAAAAAGGUAACAGAGGAUAUAAUUGUUCGUGUUUUAUUUGUGGUGAUGGAAAGUGUUAAACUUGUAGAGGAGAGGGAGGGGUCUUAUCAGUUGUUUGCUAAAUAUAAGGUUUUCCUAAUUUCUUACUUAUUUAUUGGGUGUGGCAAUGGGUAGUUGAUAUUUCUCUAUGCCCAAGGUUUGGGAGAAUAAUUAGUAGUGAAAAGUUGGGAUGAUCUAUUUUCUGAGGGGUGGGAAAGAAUUUAAUAAUGAUGUUUACACUAGUGUAUGAGAACAGUGGACACAUUCUCUGGUUCUAUUAGUUUUAAAUUAAUUCGACUCAGAUUCCAAUGAAAAUUGGGAGUUGAUAUAUUUUUUAAUGUUUUAUAGAUACGCUUUAAUAAUUAAAUGUAUUGCUCAUAAUCCC